CCUACGGGUGGCUGCAGUGGGGAAUAUUGGACAAUGGGCGAAAGCCUGAUCCAGCCAUGCCGCGUGUGUGAAGAAGGCCUUCGGGUUGUAAAGCACUUUCAGUGGGGAAGAAAGCCUUGGGGCUAAUACCCUCGAGGAAGGACAUCACCCACAGAAGAAGCACCGGCUAACUCCGUGCCAGCAGCCGCGGUAAUACGGAGGGUGCGAGCGUUAAUCGGAAUUACUGGGCGUAAAGCGCGCGUAGGCGGUCUGAUAAGCCGGGUGUGAAAGCCCCGGGCGCAACCUGGGAACGUCAUCCGGAACUGUCAGGCUAGAGUGGAGGAGAGGAAGGUAGAAUUCCCGGUGUAGCGGUGAAAUGCGUAGAGAUCGGGAGGAAUACCAGUGGCGAAGGCGGCCUUCUGGACUGACACUGACGCUGAGGUGCGAAAGCGUGGGUAGCAAACAGGAUUAGAUACCCCGGGUAGUC
rnacentral:rRNA from 1 species